AUGAAUGGAAUUAGUGGCCUAAAAAAGAGACUCCAGAGAGCUUCCUCGCCCCUUCCACCAUGUGAGGACACAGCAAGAAGCUGCCUUCUAAGAAAUCAGGAAACUGAUCCUCACCAGACACCGAAUCUGCUGGUGCACACCCUGUUCUCAGGCUUUCCAGCUUCCAGAACUAGUGAAUUGUAAUUUCCAUUACUUUAAAAGUGCUUCUGGGACCCCAGGAGACAACAUUCCCCAGCUUAACUACAGAGUUACAAAGAUGGGGUUUCACCAUGUUGGCCAGGCUGGUCUCAGACUCCUGCAUUCAAGCCAUCCACUUGCCUCAGCCUCCCAAAGUGUUGGGAUUACAGGCAUGAGCCACCGCGCCUGUCCCUAACUGUACGUUUAUACCCAUUAACCAACCUCUCUCUUUAUCUCCUACACCCUCUGCUUGCUAUUUUUGAUAUGUGUUUCAAACAUCUCCCAAAUGAAGUAUGAGAAACGUAAUUAGGUAUUACCAUGGACUCAGAAUUCAUAUUUUUCUUCCCUAUCCCUCCUCUUCCCCAAUGAUUGCCUAGCUUUGCUCACAGAUUUUAUCCCCAUGGUUUAGUCUGUCUUCAGCUCUGCAUGAGACCAGAGUUCUUCAAAAUAAUCUCCCUUUAGGGAAAGGACAGAAAUUGGACAAUGACAACUCUGUGGUCUGGACAUUGUUUGACACUUUGAUGGGGAAAAGGGGAGAAUUGAAACUCUUUACUAAAGUUAUUAUUUCUCCAAUUUCAUUCUCACUGUGUUUACAAGAAAAGCCAAAGGAAUGUCUUGCUCAGAAAGGGGACCACUCUCUAAUAUUGAUAGGUACCAGGAUAGAGGCCCACAGCUAAUUGUGCUUCUGAGAUAGUAACAGAAAGUAUAGAUUCUCUAAUCAGGCAAAAGUGCCUGUACUCCUUCAAGAUCUCUUGUAGUAUAUUGUCAGGAAAAAGCCAAUCGGUCUGAGACUCAGUGCCAAGGCUCCUGCUACCAUUCCUCCCAGAAAUUGUUAGGUGGCUUUGUCUUCACAAGUUUCCAUAGUUCUUGAUGGAAAUUGUGUUAGACUACAUAAAAUGUGCCUUGCAAGUAUUUUAAAAUGACCAUCAAGAUAAAUCAGUAGACACUGACAUCCUUCACAGAAUUAGAAAAAACUUUAAAUUCAUAUGGGACCAAGAAAGAGCCCAUACAGCCAAAACAAUCCUAAGCAAAAAGAACAAAGCUGGAGGCAUCAUGCUACCUGACUUCAAACUAUACUACAAGGCUACAGUAACCAAAACAGCAUGGUACUGGUACAAAAACAGACACAUAGACCAAUGGAACAGGAUAGAGAUGUCAUAAAGAAGACCACACAUCUACAACCAUCUGAUCUUCAACAAACCUGACAAAAACAAGCAACCAGGAGAGGAUUCCCUAUUUAAUAAAUGGUGCUGGGGAAACUGGCUAGCCAUAUGCAAAAAAUUGAAACUGCACCCCUUCCUUACGCCUUAUACAAAAAUUAACUCACAAUGGAUUAAAGACUUAAGUGUAAAACCUAAAACCAUAAAAACCCUGGAAGAAAACCUAGGCAAUACCAUCCAGGACAUAGGCAUGGGCAAAGACUUCAUGACUAAAACCCCAAAAGCAAUUGCAACAAAAGCAACAAUUCACAAAUGGAAUCUAAUUAAAGUAAAGAGCUUCUGCACAGCAAGAGACUAUCAUCAGAGUGAGCAGACAACCUACAGAAUGGGAGAAAACAGAUUUUGCAAUCUAUCCAUCUGACAAAGGUCUGAUAUCCAGAAUCUACAAAGAACUUAAACAAAUGUACAAGAAAAAAAAAAACAUCAAAAAGUGGGCAAAGAAUAGGUGAACAGACACUUCUCAAAAGAAGACAUUUAUGUGGCCAACAAACAUAUUUUUAAAAAGCCCGACAUCACUGAUGAUGAGAGAAAUGUAAAUCAAAACCACAAUGAGAUACUAGCUACACCAAUCAGAAUGGUGAUGAUUAAAAAGUCAAGAAACAACAGAUGCAGGCAAGGCUGUGGAGAAAUAGGAAUGCUUUUACUCUGUUGGCGGGAAUGUUAAUUAGUUCAGUCAUUGUGGAAGAUGUUGUGGUGAUUCCUCAAAGAUCUAGAACCAGAAAUAGCAUUUGACCAAGCAAUCCCAUUAUUGGGUAUAUACCUAAAGAAAUAUAAAUAAUUCUAUUAUAAAGACACAUGCACGCAUAUGUUCCCUCCAGCACUAUUCACAAUAGCAAAGACACAGAAUCAACUCAAAUGCCCAUCAGCGAUAGACUGGAUAAAGAAAACGUGGUAAACGUAUACCAUGGAAUACUAUGGAGCCAUAAAAAGGAAUGAGAUCAUGUCCUUUGCAGGGACAUGGAUGGAGCUGGAAGCCAUUAUCCUCAGCAAACUAAUACAGGAACAGAAAACCAAAUGCCACAUAUUCUCACUCAUAAGUGGGAGCUGAACAAUGAGAACACAUGGACACAGGGAGGGGAACAACACAUACCAGGGCCUGGCACGGAAUAGGAGGGAAGGGAGAGCAUCAGGAUAAAUAGCUAACGUAUGCGGGCCUUAACACCUAGGUGAUGGGUUGAUAGGUGUAGCAAACUAUCAUGGCACACGUUUACCUAUGUAACAAACCUGCAUGUCCUUCACAUGUAUCCCAGAAGUUUAAAUAAAAUAAAAAGAUAAAUUGGUAGAAGAAA